rnacentral:rRNA from 1 species
GAUACGACCGUACCGCAAACCGACACUGGUGCGCGAGAUGAGUAUUCUAAGGCGCUUGAGAGAACUCAGGAGAAGGAACUCGGCAAAUUGACACCGUAACUUCGGAAGAAGGUGUGCCCUAUUAGUGUGUAGUGAACAACGAAGCAUGAAUGGGUUGCAAAAAAUCGGUGGCUGCGACUGUUUAUUAAAAACACAGCACUCUGCAAACACGAAAGUGGACGUAUAGGGUGUGACGCCUGCCCGGUGCUGGAAGAUUAAAUGAUGGGGUGCAAGCUCUUGAUUGAAGUCCCAGUAAACGGCGGCCGUAACAAUAACGGUCCUAAGGUAGCGAAAUUCCUUGUCGGGUAAGUUCCGACCUGCACGAAUGGCGUAACGAUGGCCACACUGUCUCCUCCUGAGACUCAGCGAAGUUGAAAUGUUUGUGAUGAUGCAAUCUCCCCGCGGAAAGACGGAAAGACCCCAUGAACCUUUACUGUAGCUUUGUAUUGGACUUUGAACAGAUCUGUGUAGGAUAGGUGGGAGGCUUUGAAGCAGGGUCGCUAGAUCUUGUGGAGCCAACGUUGAAAUACCACCCUGGUGUGUUUGAGGUUCUAACCUAGGUCCAUUAUCUGGAUCGGGGACAGUGCAUGGUAGGCAGUUUGACUGGGGCGGUCUCCUCCCAAAGCGUAACGGAGGAGUUCGAAGGUACGCUAGUUACGGUCGGACAUCGUGACGAUAGUGCAAUGGCAUAAGCGUGCUUAACUGCGAGACUGACAAGUCGAGCAGAUGCGAAAGCAGGACAUAGUGAUCCGGUGGUUCUGUAUGGAAGGGCCAUCGCUCAACGGAUAAAAGGUACUCUGGGGAUAACAGGCUGAUACCGCCCAAGAGUUCAUAUCGACGGCGGUGUUUGGCACCUCGAUGUCGGCUCAUCUCAUCCUGGGGCUGUAGCCGGUCCCAAGGGUAUGGCUGUUCGCCAUUUAAAGAGGUACGUGAGCUGGGUUUAAAACGUCGUGAGACAGUUUGGUCCCUAUCUUCCGUGGGCGCUGCAGAUUUGAGGAAGCCUGCUCCUAGUACGAGAGGACCGGAGUGGACACACCUCUGGUGUAUCGGUUGUCACGCCAGUGGCAUUGCCGAGUAGCUAAGUGUGGAAGAGAUAACCGCUGAAAGCAUCUAAGCGGGAAACUCGUUUCAAGAUGAGAUCUGCCGGGGCCUUGAGCCCCCUAAAGAGUCGUUCAAGACCAGGACGUUGAUAGGUCAGGUGUGGAAGCUU